UUCUAUUCUUUUUUUUUUAUGAACAAAAACAGAAAUACAUGAAAGAAAGUCUUGUAAUCUAAUCCUGUUUUAUCUUAACUAAUUUAAUUACGGGUUAAAUAUGAUAUUUGUGAUACUUAUAAAAUAAAAUUAAAUAUAUUUUUUGGAGUUAUUGGUAAGAGCAUUUUAUACUUAACUUUAAAACAUAUAAAAUUGACUAUAAUUAUGCACUAUCGUCAUGUAUGUACUUGCUCUGAUUCUUAAAUAUGAUUCCAUGUAAUUCUUCAGUUUAGGAGAUUCUUGAUAUCAUGAUCGGUUUGAAUCCGGUUGCUCGAUGGCUUCCCGAUCUGUAAACAAUCGAUAGUAGGGACAGUGGGGGAUCUCAGUUCUCCAUAAGUCUGCCAGCAGAAUGGAUUACAUAGAUGGUAUUGCUGCUGAACUGGUUUCAGCUCCACCUUGUUUAACGACACGUCCACGCAUGGCAGGCUAUCACUGCAUGCGAAGUGAACCGGCUUUACCGUUGAUGUUUGAGACACAGGCUCUGGUGUUAUCCUUACCUAAGCUUCCAAUGCUGAUUCCAUGUCCUGGCCCACAGUUGACAUCGUGUACAAAUACAUUUGAGCACCCAGUUUGUAUGGAAAUACAGUCAUCACCUGCACCAUGGUUGAAAUUCAGAACAAUACUUAUUAGCCAACUCAAAAACUACUUUAUGGUUUUUUUGUGCUUAUCUAAUCCUUGAAAAGAAGUGUUGGAGCAACGGUUGAGUUGUCUCCAUAUAAUCUCAAAGCCACAGGUUCAAGCACUGGAAUCAGCCACUGAUAUAAUUACCAGGUUAGGCUUCCUGCAUUAUACGUUUUGGAUGUGGCCAUUCCCUGACCCCUGCAUUAAUGACUUGGCGCGGGAUACUUGUGCACCAGGCUUAUUCAAUCAUUGAGACUCAAUUGUUUUAAUGAUCAUUGUAAUGCUGCAAUUACUUAUACAUAAUUGAAGUCUUGAAGUAAUUACCACAUGCUAAGUUGCUGGUAUGAAUCAUCACAUUUUUGGAAUUCUGAAGGUGAAUUCCAUCUGUAUUUGGGCUGUUACCAGGGGAUGAUAUGCUAACAUCAUGGACCAGAACCUCAUUGCAGUUGUCAAACUUGAGGUGGCAUUGAGGACUAUUUUGAAUUGUUAUGCCUGUCACUACUGCGUUAAAACUCCCAUAAAAUCUUAAUGCCUGCGCAAAUUAGAAAAACAAGAUUAUGUUAAAACAGUCCCUAAACUUGAUUCAAAACUGCUCUUUGUGGAGUUUCAAACUGAUCUUACAGUUGGCUUGAUGCUUGGCAUUUUCCUCCCCAUAGCACUCUGAACCUAGUAUAGUUGAAGCAUAGUACAUUAUUAGUUUCAAUUUGUUGAUAUUUUGUCAUGUAAAAUUUUGUAGAAGUAACAGAUAAUUUACCGGCACCGGUGGUUUCCAUGUGUGGUUUAAAGGGACUAUGAGCUUUUCUUCACCAUCUAUAGGGUUAUCAAAUGGCUGGUCUUCCCACCAAACUGAGCCUCUUCCAUCAAUGACACCCUUUCCUUGAAUGGUGAUUCCCACCAGCUUUGUAAACUCCAGCCAUUGUAGCAGUCCUCCACACCAAGCAUUUGCAUUUGUUGGAGCAAUAAUUGUACCAUCAAGCUGACACAAAUAAUUGUACCACCCUUAUUAGCCUAGUUUGCGUUGUUGCUACAUUAUUUUUAUUUUUAUUUUUAUUUCUAAUAUUUAGAACUUAUAUAAUAGACAGAAUUGUUAUAAAUGUUCUAGAAAUCAUAAGGACUGUUAGUUGAAAUAAAACAAUAAGACUGGUUUAUGUAAGUCAAUACUCAACAGCAUAUUUCAUCAUUUUGUCUACUCAA